UACGAAGGGGGCUAGCGUUGCUCGGAAUUACUGGGCGUAAAGGGAGCGUAGGCGGACAGUUAAGUUAGAGGUGAAAGCCCAGGGCUCAACCUUGGAAUUGCCUUUGAUACUGGCAGUCUUGAGUACGGAAGAGGUAUGUGGAACUCCGAGUGUAGAGGUGAAAUUCGUAGAUAUUCGGAAGAACACCAGUGGCGAAGGCGACAUACUGGUCCGUUACUGACGCUGAGGCUCGAAAGCGUGGGGGAGCAAACAGGAUUAGAUACCCUGGUAGUCCACGCCGUAAACGAUGAGUGCUAGUUGUCGGCAUGCAUGCAUGUCGGUGACGCAGCUAACGCAUUAAGCACUCCGCCUGGGGAGUACGGUCGCAAGAUUAAAAACUCA
rnacentral:rRNA from 1 species